UACAUACCACAAUGUCUUGAAUGUGAUAGUUAUAAAUCACAUUUUUCACAAACAAGGUGUCACAUAUCUCUGACAAGUGGCCAUAACGUUUCUCUCGUGUUCAACAUGUUUGCUGAACAAGAGAACAACUUCUCAAGAGUUCGUGCUAUUAUUAGUUCAUCUUCAAGCUGGUAAGCGUGCAUCAACCAGCAUCUUGUGCGGAUUUAUGUAUCAAGCACCCGAUCUACCGCCCUUCAAAACAAUCUGAUCGUAUACAAGGUAGGAUCAACUGUUGCGCAUAGGAAAUGGCACCAGAGUGUAAGCUAAUCAGGUUGUCUGACUGAACCAUCAAGGACAGCACCAAGAGACACACAGUACCAGGCCAAAAAUUAAACUGAUGAACUACGAGGUGAAUUGGCAUUGUCAUCUGCAGCUCUGCUCGGCACCGGCAAUGAGCCGAUCAAUCAGCUGGCGAAGGAGUGUUCCGAUCAGUCAGCCAUGGUUGCCUUGCCGACAUGGCUGAAUCUGAAUCCUCCAUCUUUCUACCUGAACAACAUGUUGUUUACCUCCCCUGCACCUGUACCAUACAUACAGGUACCCCAUCAGUUCAGUAUGGUUCAGUUGAGUUGCUAUCAAUCAUGCAUCUAUAUAUGUAUGCACACAACAACUGUUCCAUGUGUGAAGCAAAUGUAGAUGCAAAGCUUACCUGUCUGGCUGCUCCAGGCAUCGUCCGUCAUCAAGGGUGCCAUCUCGGUCAAACACCCUG
rnacentral:lncRNA from 1 species